UCCCUGAUGGCUCAGUGGUAAAGAAUUUGCUUGGAAUGCAGAAGACACAGGAGAUGCAGGUUCGAUUCCUGGGUAGGGAA
rfam:TPA: Bos taurus chromosome 1, whole genome shotgun sequence.